UGUGAUCUCUGUCUGCCAAAUAAAUAAAUAAAACCUUAAAAAAAAAAAAAAAGGGAAGAAGAAGAAGUUCUCACUGUUAUUUGAGUGUCUGUUCUAUUCAUUCUGUAAAACCCAUAUUAAUGCUUACUUCUUCUGUUCACAGGCCCUUUCCGAACUCCCCAGAAAGUAGCAGCCACUCUCCUCUGGGACCAGCAACCAAUUACAUAGUGUGGCACAUACAAAUUAUUAAGCUUCAGUUACCUAAGGUCAACUGCGGUCUGGAAGCCCGUGAUCCUCCUUCUGAUGAAUCCUCAGAAGGUAAAUAGUAACCCAACACUUCUCCACGGCACCUGCAUCCUUUGCCUCGCGUCAUCUCAGCAGGUAGGGAUUUUAGCUUCUCGCACCAUCUCAAGACGAAGAAGGGUGAGUAGAGCACAGUAAGUUGUUUGCAGCGAGUGAGAGAGAGCAAGCACAUUCACGUAACUUAUCACAGUGUCCUGGGUUUUUCUGAAAUAAGAUGGGUCCACGGUCUUUGUAAUUUUACCAAGUUCUUCAGGUAACUUUACUACCCACCAGUUUAGGAACCACUGUGAUGAGGCAUUCAUCAAGGAAUCACUUGUGCAAGUGUCAUUAGUUCUAGAAAGCAAUGCAGGGCUGCAAGUAAAAUAAAUAGUGGUAAAUAUAAAACUGUAUGUCCAUGAGAAUAUAAAUGUGCAUGUGUAUGAAACACUGUAACACAUUCUUGAUUUGUGCUCUGUAAGACACAAGUUCUGGGAGCAGCUAAUAUACACAGCCAGUGGCUGGACUGUGUGGCUGAUUCAUUUGAGAAAUCCUACAGGCCAG
rnacentral:lncRNA from 1 species